CCUACGGGUGGCAGCAGUGAGGAAUAUUGGUCAAUGGACGAGAGUCUGAACCAGCCAAGUCGCGUGAAGGAUGACUGCCCUAUGGGUUGUAAACUUCUUUUAUAAAGGAAUAAAACGAGGCACGUGUGCCUUUUUGCAUGUACUUUAUGAAUAAGGAUCGGCUAACUCCGUGCCAGCAGCCGCGGUAAUACGGAGGAUCCGAGCGUUAUCCGGAUUUAUUGGGUUUAAAGGGAGCGUAGAUGGGUUGUUAAGUCAGAUGUGAAAGUUUGCGGCUCAACCGUAAAAUUGCAAUUGAUACUGGCAGUCUUGAGUGCAGUUGAGGUAGGCGGAAUGCGUGGUGUAGCGGUGAAAUGCUUAGAUAUCACGAAGAACCCCGAUUGCGAAGGCAGCUUACUAAGCUGUGACUGACAUUGAUGCUCGAAAGUGUGGGGAUCAAACAGGAUUAGAUACCCUGGUAGUC
rnacentral:rRNA from 1 species